GAUUCAACCAUAAUUUAAUAAAAAAAAUCCAAAUUUUCAACUCCUUAAUUAAGAGCUGCAAAAGUGGUAUUUCAGCUUCAAAAUUCAAGGGUUGGUUUUAUUUUCCGUAAAAAAUAAUUGGGUGACUUGGAACAUGCCGAACUAUUAUAAACGAACACCCGGCAGUCGUACUUACCGAAAUUUUUCUGAAGAAACUUUAGAUAAUGCAUUGAACGAAAUCCGAAAUUAUAGAUUGACUUACCGACAGGCUUCUGAUAAGUAUGGAAUACCAAUAAGCACUUUAAGUAGGAAAAAAAACCAACUAAAUCUUAAUCCCCACGGUGGCCAAACAGCUUUAACUUCCACUGAAGAAGGUAAAAUUUGAAACUGUAAGAGGCAACUUUGAAGAAUAUGUAGGACAAAUUACUGAAAUAGAGGAGGAUAAUUUACUGUGCCGGUUCCUUAGAAAGAGCCAAAGUAUGAGAGGAUGUUUUUCUUUUCCUUUCAUAAUAGAUGAAGCAUAUGUUGGAAAAGACCAAGUUAUAAAAAAAUUAAAGGUCAUAAAAGAAAGAAGAGGCAACUAUCAGUUUGAAUAAAAAUUAGUUCCUUAUCUACUGUAAAAAUUUAAAUUGUUAAGUUUUAAAAUCAAUAACAUUAAUUUUUGGUUACCUAUUGUUAAAUUGUUUUUUGUUAUAAAUAUUAAAUUGUAAGGUUCAAAAAAGAAAUACUUAUGUUGUAUCUAUUGUUUUACAAGUCAGUUUAAACUGUUUUAUUUUUUGUUGUAUAUAAAGUUUAAUUUUAUUAAUAUGUUUGUUAAAUUUAUUUUGUGAGCAAAGACUGCAACUUAUAAGAAAAAGUAUUAUUUUGUAAUAAACAGUUUUAAAAAAAUGUUAAAUUGUUUUUAAAUUAAUAAAAAUAUGGUUUUUGGUUAUUGUUA